CCGGGCGGCUGCAGUGGGGAAUAUUGGACAAUGGGGGCAACCCUGAUCCAGCCAUGCCGCGUGUGUGAAGAAGGCCCUCGGGUUGUAAAGCACUUUCAGUGAGGAAGAACGCCUGGUGGUUAAUACCCAUCAGGAAAGACAUCACUCACAGAAGAAGCACCGGCUAACUCCGUGCCAGCAGCCGCGGUAAUACGGAGGGUGCGAGCGUUAAUCGGAAUUACUGGGCGUAAAGCGCGCGUAGGUGGCUUGAUAAGCCGGUUGUGAAAGCCCCGGGCUCAACCUGGGAACGGCAUCCGGAACUGUCAAGCUAGAGUGCAGGAGAGGAAGGUAGAAUUCCCGGUGUAGCGGUGAAAUGCGUAGAGAUCGGGAGGAAUACCAGUGGCGAAGGCGGCCUUCUGGACUGACACUGACACUGAGGUGCGAAAGCGUGGGUAGCAAACAGGAUUAGAUACCCGAGUAGUC
rnacentral:rRNA from 1 species